GUGACUCUCUCUCUCUCUCUCACACACACAUUUCUGAGCGAGUCAUGACUCGGUCGCCUUAAAUGGCGAGUACAUGGAAGACUCGGCUCAACUCGGGCUGACUCGCGGCGAUGUCCACGGAGGUUUGUCUGAGUGGAACCCACCACAUCCCCUCUGGUUAAGCGCCGUCGUUCCUGGAACGUAAAUUUAUCUCUCACUCUCUUCAAUCUUUAUUUAUUAAUUUAACAUUUUACAAUUGCUUGUGAAUUUUAGUUAAACUUAUUGGGUUGGGUUGGGUUGGGUAGGAAGAAUGCAUUUCAGCUUCACAAAUCAAAAUUUUCAACAAUACAUUUUGGUUUCAACAAUACUUAUUGGGUUUUGUUCCGUCGGGAGAAUUGUUCUUUCCUUAUUGUAAUCAGAUAAUUCAGAUAGGAUGCUUUCUUAAAUGAUGCAGCCGGUGAGAAUAAUUGGUCCCCACAUGGUUUCAUCGAUUUUAUUAUGAUUACAAAGAGGGUAUAUAUGCAUGCUACAACACAGUUAGAAAAUAGAAGUGCCUGGGUUGUUGAGUGUUCUUUGAAUAUCCAAGUAACAAUGGGAGUUGCGGGAAACUUUUGUUUAGUAGAGCAUCUUCAGAGUCAACACUUGUCAAUCCCUGCUGGAUUGCAAUAUACAUUUCCUGAGCUUUAAAACAUCUGUGCAUAUGAUCAGAUUAGGUCAUGGUGAGGACUACCAAUUUCAGUUUGCAAUAGGUCAGUGCCCAAAAAGUUGUAUUCAUUACAUUACACCUUCGCAGAGAUUUAUCUUAGAGGAGCUACUAGACAGAAUAUGGACAGGGGAUUGGAGAGGAGGCUUGAUCAAUGGAAAUGGGAUGGCUUUUGCAUUUCCUAAACAUAUUAUGGAUGUUCUGGUUGCCUCAUUAAAGCAGGAGGUGUAUUCAGAAUUUAGGGGGCUCAAGUUGUUCUUUACAAAGGCUUGGGCAAUGCUGCAUUUAAAUAUAUACUUGAUGCAGCGUUAAUGUGCACUGGAGAGAAUCCACAAAAAUGGCCAUCUAUGUCUUUGGUAAGGCUGAAGAAUGCAGCUUUGUAUGAGGUUAUUGUUUGACUGAGGUGUUUUCCUCGUGUUGUUGUAACUUCUUUACCGUGCAGCUAAUUUUUGCUGCUUUUGUAAUCCAUUUUUUACUUAUUGAAAUAAAAUAACUGCCUU